UCAUCUUAGAGCUGGAAGUUUGCACCCUUUGACCAACAUCUCCCCAUUUCCCCACCUCCAGCCCGUGCUAACCAUCGAUCUACUAUGUUUCUAUGAGUUCAGCUUUUCUAGAUUCCACAUACAAGUGCUAUCAUACAGCAUCCCUCUUUCUCUGACUUAUUUCACUUAAUAAUGAUGCUCUCAAGGUCCAUCCAGAACAUGAGGACUCUUAAGAAUUUUACAUGUUUAAAUGGAAGGUGGUGGGAACUUUCCAUGGCUAGAUGGUGACUGCCAUAACAUGCUAAAACCUACUCUGAGUAUGAAAAACGGGGACCUGCACAGGACCCUGAACUCAGCUGUAGCAGGAUGGCCCUUCAGCAGCCGCUGCCUCUGCCAAGAGAGCUGUCUGGACACCAAGAGACUUUCAGGGAAAGGUUACACAGUGACGGGAAUGGAGACAAUUUAAGGAGCUGGCCAAAGGGAAGAAGACAUAGCUUUUGGAAAGAACGAGGGCGGGUCUCACUUCUCUAGAGGCCAAUGGGAAAGAUGGAUUAGAUCUGACUAGCUGGACAAUCUGGAACCUCUGCCAGGACUAAAGGCUGGGAAGGGAACUGGGAAAGAAGAGGGGACCGUCAGGUAGAGAGAGCAGGUCAAAGCAAUGCAGCCCAGCGCCAGCCCUGCUGGUUGAGAGCCCAACUCUGCACUCGGGACACCUGCUCACAUGAGGGGAGCCGGGAAGAAAAGCCCACCGCCAGGAUGCCCAUGGCCGGAGACCUCAGUAGAAGCUGGCUCUAAAAAGCUUACUAGCCUAAGAUCACACAGCUUGUGACCGGUGGAGCUGAAGUGUGAACCCAUUUGUAUCCAGAGCCAAGAGGAAGCCUUUUCUGUCCCACCAUGGCACCCUUGCCCAGAAAGCAGCUGCUGUUGGCUCAGAGGCUGCUGCUCCGUCAAGCCGUCAGGACCGCGGGUUCUGCAUUCCAGAGUAAUUGUGGGGUGGCUGUGGAGCGCCUGGGAAACCCAGCUUUGUGCUAAGGAAGCACGGUCCUUGCUCAGAAAUGGUUAUCUGCAGCUCCUCACGGGGAAGGCUGGCUCUCCCUGAGGACUCUUCUUGAACUGCCUCUGCCCACCAGAGGGUAGAAGACGUGCCUGCCUUGAUGGGAGACCUUGCAGGAGGCACCAGGGACCUGGCGGUCCCACCACAGCAGACUAGACAUCGGAAGCCCACCUCUAAGUGGGUGAUGUCCAAGAGACAAGGGUGACAGGACGACAACAGGCAGCGAAUGUCCACACACAGCCUGAUUUGGCCCCCAGUGUGCAGAAGUGCUUGUAGCGAGCAGGGGGAGGGGUGCCCAGCUCCUCCAAGCAUCCCACAUGAGGGCACACGCCAAGAGCUGUGAUGGGCAGAACCGGCAAGGGGGUGAACUGACCUGGGUUCGAAUCCCAGCUUCUCUACUUAUCAACACCUUGGGGAAGGUGUGGAACUUCUGUAGGCCUCAGUGUGCUCCCCUCUAAAGGGAAUAAAAAUACCUCACGGGGCAGUUUAUUCUAAAAGACCAAUGUAUGUCAGUGCCUCGCUGACACAGGUCUUCAGAACAUGACCACCUACCUCGUGGAAUUCCGCUUAGCAAGCAAUGAGUAACUACAGCCUCCUUGUUAGAUGACAGUGCCUUUUCAUUUUAUUCUGCCUUCAAGCAAUCAAAAUUCCUUAUAUGGGUCCCUCACUUUACCGUUUACAGAAGGCUUACAUGUUAUCUCGUGGAAGCCUCACACACUCUGAUCCCCAUUUGAGAGAGGAGGGACCCAAGGCUCCGAGCCACGAUCACAAGCUAGUAAGGAGCAGAGCAUGUCUCUGGGCCGCCGGCGCCCUGGCCAACACCCUUUCUUCAGCUCCUUGUUUUGGGUUCCCGUUCAGACCACGGUCUGACUCACUCUUUCCUGACACAAAACUCAACUGUCCUCUCUCCAGAGUUAGAACAAGUACUCACUGUAGGAGUCAUGCUCAAGUUCCUCCUCUUCCAAGAAACAGUCUCUCAACAAACAUUGCAGACGCGUUCCUAGGGAAGGCUCCUUGCUAGGCUCUGAGGAACAGCAAAGGAAGUGAAUCUGGCCUCUGGCCUCUGUCGUCUGCCUUCUGCUCGGACGGGCAGCAGCAGACCCUGCCCCCUCUCAUUCCCUGCCUUCUGAACCCGGGAGAGCAGAGGCUGAGCAGUCGCCUGGCCGUGCUGGGCUCUGCUAUGAAUUUGCUGUGGGCAGGCUCCCCUCACACCUGCCAUCAUAUAGAACAGCUAUGAAAGGGCUCCUUCGACCCAUCAACCCGAGCUACUUCUCGCUGGGGCAGCCCAUCCCCUCGUAGGGAGCUGAAUGGUGCCCCCCCAAAUUCAUGUCCACCCAGAACCUCAGAAUGUGACCUUAUUUAGAAAUAGUAUCUUUGCAUACAUCAUCAGUUAAGGAUGUCGAGAUGGAAUCAUCCUGGAGUUAGGGUGGGCGCUGAAUUCACUGACUGGUGUCCUUAUAAGAGGAAAGGACACAGAGAGACAACAGAGAAGAAGGCCAUGUAAAGACAGACGCAGAGACUGGAGUGAUGCAGCUACAAGCCAAGGAACGCCAAGGAUUGCCAGGAGCCAAGAGAUGCUGGAAGCGGCAAGGAAGGAUUUUCCCUGGAGCCUUCAGAGGGAGCGGGGCCCUGCUGACACCUUGAUUUCAGACUUCCAGCCUCCAGAACACGGCCACCUCCAGCGCUGGCAGAUGGCACCAGGAGUGGGAGCCACAGGAGUCUGGGAGCAUGUUCUCAUCCUGGCUUUGUCACCAAUUUUCUUGAAAAUUCACCACCCCUCUCCUGCUAAAGGAGGGGCGGGCAGGGCAGAUGGUCUGUUACGUCCUUUCCAGUGCUGACAUUCCAAGAUGACGGCCUUCCUUCUAUACCAGAGAGAAGCACGUGUGUUUGUCGCCAUGCUCGUUGGUCCUUCCUCCAUCCUACGUGCAUCGGCAGCACUGCGCCCCCGUGCUGCAGAGAUGCUGGGAGUGGUGAGGACGACAGGCCCCGGUCAGUGAGGCAAGCACAAGGACAGCAGGAAAGCAGAGCGGAGAAGGAACACCAGUGUGGGCGGCGGCCGGAGGAGGUGAAGCCGAGGAGUCUGAGGACGAGCCGGAUGGCCAGGCAGGAAAGGCAGAGGCAGAGCCAGGCAACAAGGAGGUCUGAGAAGAUGCUGAGUCGGGGUUGCAGGGGACAGUGGUUGGUGGUGCAGGGGAGGUGGUCAGCUUGGGGCCAGAUGGUGAAGGGAGUUUGCCGUCUCUCCUGGAGGCCGCAGGGAGCUGGGGCUGCACAGGCAGAGGGGGGCGGUGCUCCGAUCUGGCUUUCCUUAGGAACCGUCAUCUGGACCCACAGUGUAGGGUGUCCUGGGGCCUCCAGAACCACCACCUUGCAUUUUCAGCCGGCUCAGAGAAGGCUGCCAGCAGGUUUCCCAUCGUCAGUUGGAGCGAGAAAUGUUGGGGGCUGGUCUCCUCUCUCUGCUGCCCUGGGGUGAUAACCAGCAAUAUCAGGAAUACAGUUUCAAGGUGGACCCAGAGCUCUGCAACCGUGUGAUCUUCCCGCUUCAUAAUCCUGAGCACAGACCUCAGGCUCAAGACUCCUAGGCGGAGAGCUCUGCUGCUUACCAGCUGCUUUGUCUUGGAUCUGUUCCUUGACCUCUCUCAGACUCAGUAUCUUCACCUCUAAAAUGGGCCCAUUACUGACUGCGACGAGAGGCGUUUCACAUGUUAGGAAACGAGUUGGUAACUGUAAAAAUAUCUAGCACAGUGCCUGGCUUAAUCCAAACGCUCCAUACAUGUGAGCUUCCCCUCCUUAUGUCACAAAUUUGGGGUAGAAACUGAGAUAAACUGUUGUUGGAGCCCAGGCAGGAGGUGGGGAGGAGGCCCCACAGAGGAGCAGCUGGGCCGGUGGGUGGAUGGUAGGCGGUGGGUGGUAUGAUGGGAAUGUUCGGGGUUUUGUCAGUUUGUCUACACAACCACUCAAUUUUCCUGCAGCCAGAAGCAGGAACGCUCAUGCCGGCAAACCGGUGUCGGCUUGGGCAACAGCCUGACGUCAGCGGAAUUGGCCAGGCUGCCGGAGCCUUGGCAGCUGAGCGCCGAGCACAGCAGCCUCAUCAACACAGUGUUGAAAGUACUCCCAAGACUCCGGUGUUUCUUAGCAACUGCCCUAUUUGGGGGAACACUGAGUGCCACAGGGAAGCUGGCUUGGAAACAUGUGCAAGACAAGCAGCACCCCCAAUCAACACGCAGUGUGCCCCCUGCAGCCCGGCUCCUUCAUGCCAGCUGCCAUCUCCCAGGGCAAUGUGACCAGACUGGAAGACCUCCAGGAGGCAAUCAGCUACCCUACAGGUCUCUAGGCAGCUUCCAGAACCAAAAGCUUGCAGAGAGGCCCCGGUUAUCCUUUCGGCCCCCAGGCAAAGCCCAGUUACCAUCUGUUAUUCUUCAAACCAUCUGAGCAGCUGACAGGCCACAAAGGAAAAAAAGAGACACUAACAAAACACGCCAGGCCCUUAACACUCAGACCCAGGGCUGGGCACAGAGGGCAUCUUUGAUACACAAAACACCCCCAAAAGGAGUCCAGGAUACACAGGUCUUCUGUGGAAGUCUGCAACCAACCAAGGUGUUCUAGAAAGUUCCAGGUUACAAAUGCUUGCUGGACUUUUGUUCUUUCUACACUUGGACAGAGGACACCUCAUUUUACCUCCGCAAAAUUUAUUUUGGAGAAUUAAAGAAUUCCACCAGGGCCAGGCUUCUUGGCACAGGCAGUCGAUCUCAGAUAUGUAUUAUUAAUACGAACAUUUUCCUGUCGUGAUUGCACACCCAAUUUAAAAUGAAUUAUCCAAUUAAAUUAAGAAGGUGAUGCAUUCAACUUCCAGGAAUAUAUUGCCAAUGACUCUGUCUUGCCUGUCUCCCCUAAACCCCUUCCAAUUAAGUAAAGACUGUUCAGUACAUUGUGAGGAUAAGCUGGGAUGUUGCUGUGGAGACGGGAGGAUUUUUCAUCAUAUCACCCUUUCAAUCUCCUGAUGAGAAGGGAGCUGGCAGAGCAUUCAGCCUCCCCCCAGGAUGAAUGCUCACCGCCAACAACAACAAGGACAAAAGCUCUGCUGGAUGGAAAAGGAUGAGGGAUUGUGUAAGCUUCCACAUCUCCUUCUGCAGCAACCCAGUCUAUGGCUUCGGCUUCCCAUGAGCAGAAGACAGUUGCCCUGUGUAUGCAAGUGGCAGACUCCACCAUCUUCCUCCUCCCCGUCCCCCACCCGGGCAGUUCUAGAGAGGGGCAUGCAGGCCCUGAUCUGAGGCAGUGACAGCGCUAACUCAGCCAGCAGAGAGAAAUCGAUGGGUGGUAACUGGCCAAAAAUAUCACAGCUGUGGUGUCAGACUGUGACACGGUCAACGCCAGGAAGAGUAAGAAGAGACAAAGAUUUCACUUCUCAAAUGCAAAUCUGAUCCUGGCACUCUCUACCUUACACUCCUUCAUGAGCUCUCCGUUGCCCUCACAUUAAAGUUCCAACUCUUAGGCAUGAUACACCCCAUGUUCCAUUCCUCCCUCACUCUUCCAACCUCAUCUCUCCCCCAUUCCCUAAAUAAAUACUCCGUGCUUGAAAAAGUCAAACUCUUUCACAUCUCCCUGCGUUGGCACAUGCUGUUCCCUUUCCUAGUACACCCUUUCCCUGUUUUCAGCUUGGUAAACUCCUUCUCACUCCUCUGGACCCAGGUCAGGUGCCCUGAGCUCUGGUGGCCUUCUCUCCACCUUUCCUUCCCUCCCUCUCUUUCCUGGGAGAUACUGGUAGCAUGGCCAAGCUAGCACUUUACACAACAUGCUCUAUUCCAGUUGGUUUGCAUGUCUGUCUCCCCGACCAGCUGCUGAGCCACUCAAGGGGACGGAGUAUGUUUUCAAAGGAAUGGCUGAACGACAGGAGAAAAGGCAGAGGUGAAGAACCGGGCAUGUCCUCUGGAGAUGGAUGUAUACCUGAACCCCACCCAGAACUUACUCAAGACAUGAAUAUAUGCUGUCAAUCCCAGCCAUUCCUCAAGCCCUUCAGACUUGGGCCCAUGUGUGGGCAGAUCCUGAGGCCAGUUACAGGCACGCUCUGGGCACAGACCCCUCGCUUCUCCACCCUAAGAUGAAAGACUUAAAACCAAGUCUGUCUGACAUUAAAGAGUGAAAAACAGUUGUUAAACUUGCUAAUAAAUAAAAUCCCUGAAAGAGAUCUUUAUUAUUACAUCAGGUUAUAAAGAACCUUCUGGAAGUCUCAGUUUAAAUCUAAGGGAAAAAAAGAAACCCUACCCCAAAAUUCAAACCAUCAGGACUAUAAUGAACAAACCCACCUCCACAGGCUUACAGCGAGACUGAGGAGAACGGGCUGUUUGGUGGGGGGUGACUGUGGAGCGCCCAGGCAGGAGCCAGGUCUCUGUCAGCUCCGGUUUGUGCCCUCACGGGCCCAAACACAGGCAUCCUCCCACUGCCUGCACAUUUCCAAGCGGAACAGGGGCUUCAGUCCAAGCCUGGGGAAUAAAACGUGCCCCACCCUGGACUGGGCAUCUGUCCUUUCUUGGGAUUCUGACUGAGUUUGCCCAGCAGCCUUCUCCAAAGCUGUAAGCGGGGAAGCAGGUCGUUGGCAGUGCUGGGUCGCAAAACCCAGACCCUCCAGCCUUCCCUC